GGAAGGAGGGAGGGAGAUUGUCAGCUUCGUGCGUGUAUCGUCAAUAAUGGAAUGUUUUUUUGUGUGUGUGUGUGUGUUUUUAUGGCAUGGGAGGCAGUUCAAAGGCAAAAAAUAAAAACGGCAAAAAAAUAAGCUUUGUGUGUGUGUGCGUGUUUUUAUGGCAUGGGAGGCAGUUCAAAGGCAAAAAAUAAAAAUGGCAAAAAAAUAAGCUUUGUGUGUGUGUGUGUGUGUGUGUAUUUUUAUGGCACGGGAGGCAGUUCAAAGGCAAAAAAUAAAAACAGCAAAAAAAUAAGCUGCUCCGACAAGGUAAAAAGCUUGUUUCAUGUUGUUUUCUAUGUACAGUGAGUGAGUGGGUUUGCAUCUUGUUGUUGUUCUUGUUUGGGCUUUGGUUCAAUAGUAGUGUGUGUGUGUGUGUGUGUGUUUGUGUCUUCAUUUGGGAUUUCAGGGUUAAAAUUAAGGAAGUACGUAGUAGUAUUGAGUUCAAAACACACACGCACACACACACACACACACACAUGAGUUUCGUUGUUGGAGCCCAGGAGACAGUUUGGGGUAGGAAGUCGGGAAAUAUAAUUGGCUGAGUACGACAAUCUGGCAACGUUUCUCUGCUCUGCCACACAGUCCCAGCACCUAUACCUUUCUCUCAUAUGUCACCUAUAGCUAACAUACGAAAGGAAGGUAUGGGUGUUGCGACUGUGGCUGGUAUUAUAAGACUUGAUUCACACAUCAACUAUUUUUAAAGGUCAAAGAGGGGGUCAGUCGGGUUCAGUGAGUGUUAUUUUUAGGUUCACAGUACAGAGGAAGGGUCAAACUACCACCAGGGUCAUAAAACUACCCCUGGAAAUGCCCAAAACUCAUAUGAAAGCCUUGGCCAAUAUGUGAACUUGGGCAAUUUUUAGGUUUACGGUACAGAGGAAGGGGCAAACUACCACCAGGGUCAUAAAACUACCCCUGUAAAUACCC